UAGCCUAUAGUUUUUUUGCACUUGCU
rnacentral:piRNA from 1 species